AGAGUUUGAUCCUGGCUCAGGAUGAACGCCGGCGGUGUGCCUAAUACAUGCAAGUCGUACGCACUGGCCCAACUGAUUGAUGGUGCUUGCACCUGAUUGACGUUGGAUCACCAGUGAGUGGCGGACGGGUGAGUAACACGUAGGUAACCUGCCCCGGAGCGGGGGAUAACAUUUGGAAACAGAUGCUAAUACCGCAUAACAACAAAAGCCACAUGGCUUUUGUUUGAAAGAUGGCUUUGGCUAUCACUCUGGGAUGGACCUGCGGUGCAUUAGCUAGUUGGUAAGGUAACGGCUUACCAAGGCGAUGAUGCAUAGCCGAGUUGAGAGACUGAUCGGCCACAAUGGAACUGAGACACGGUCCAUACUCCUACGGGAGGCAGCAGUAGGGAAUCUUCCACAAUGGGCGCAAGCCUGAUGGAGCAACACCGCGUGAGUGAAGAAGGGUUUCGGCUCGUAAAGCUCUGUUGUUGGAGAAGAACGUGCGUGAGAGUAACUGUUCACGCAGUGACGGUAUCCAACCAGAAAGUCACGGCUAACUACGUGCCAGCAGCCGCGGUAAUACGUAGGUGGCAAGCGUUAUCCGGAUUUAUUGGGCGUAAAGCGAGCGCAGGCGGUUGCUUAGGUCUGAUGUGAAAGCCUUCGGCUUAACCGAAGAAGUGCAUCGGAAACCGGGCGACUUGAGUGCAGAAGAGGACAGUGGAACUCCAUGUGUAGCGGUGGAAUGCGUAGAUAUAUGGAAGAACACCAGUGGCGAAGGCGGCUGUCUGGUCUGCAACUGACGCUGAGGCUCGAAAGCAUGGGUAGCGAACAGGAUUAGAUACCCUGGUAGUCCAUGCCGUAAACGAUGAGUGCUAGGUGUUGGAGGGUUUCCGCCCUUCAGUGCCGGAGCUAACGCAUUAAGCACUCCGCCUGGGGAGUACGACCGCAAGGUUGAAACUCAAAGGAAUUGACGGGGGCCCGCACAAGCGGUGGAGCAUGUGGUUUAAUUCGAAGCUACGCGAAGAACCUUACCAGGUCUUGACAUCUUGCGCUAACCUUAGAGAUAAGGCGUUCCCUUCGGGGACGCAAUGACAGGUGGUGCAUGGUCGUCGUCAGCUCGUGUCGUGAGAUGUUGGGUUAAGUCCCGCAACGAGCGCAACCCUUGUUACUAGUUGCCAGCAUUAAGUUGGGCACUCUAGUGAGACUGCCGGUGACAAACCGGAGGAAGGUGGGGACGACGUCAGAUCAUCAUGCCCCUUAUGACCUGGGCUACACACGUGCUACAAUGGACGGUACAACGAGUCGCAGCUCGCGAGAGUAAGCUAAUCUCUUAAAGCCGUUCUCAGUUCGGACUGUAGGCUGCAACUCGCCUACACGAAGUCGGAAUCGCUAGUAAUCGCGGAUCAGCAUGCCGCGGUGAAUACGUUCCCGGGCCUUGUACACACCGCCCGUCACACCAUGGGAGUUUGUAACGCCCAAAGUCGGUGGCCUAACCUUUAUGGAGGGAGCCGCCUAAGGCGGGACAGAUGACUGGGGUGAAGUCGUAACAAGGUAGCCGUAGGAGAACCUGCGGCUGGAUCACCUCCUUU
rnacentral:rRNA from 2 species